CAGUAGCCGCGGUAAUACGAAGGGGGCUAGCGUUGUUCGGAUUUACUGGGCGUAAAGGGUGCGUAGGCGGAUUGUUAAGUCAGGGGUGAAAUCCCGAGGCUCAACCUCGGAACUGCCUUUGAUACUGGCGAUCUUGAGUCCGGGAGAGGUGAGUGGAACUGCGAGUGUAGAGGUGAAAUUCGUAGAUAUUCGCAAGAACACCGGUGGCGAAGGCGGCUCACUGGCCCGGAACUGACGCUGAGGCACGAAAGCGUGGGGAGCAAACAGGAUUAGAUACCCGAGUAGUCCCUGUCUCUUAUAA
rnacentral:rRNA from 1 species